CAUCUCUGGUCUCUUGGCCUCUCCAAGGCCCACCGGAGAGAGCUGACGUGCGGUUCCUAUAAUCCUUAUGGGGGACCAACCUUGUACUUCUGGGAGAUCCACGCUCCCACCUGGAAACACACGGGAAAUCAAGCCUCCCAAAAAACGCUGCCUCCUAGCUCCGCGGUGGGAUUAUCCUGAAGGAACCCCCGACCGAGGUAGUAACCCUCUCCCCUCAGCACCUCCUCCUGCAUCAUCCGGCCUGAAAUCGCAUCUUCCUCCUCCGGAGAAGUAGUAGAAUAUACUUCUCCCAAUCCAAACCAGUUUUUGAAAGAUAACAGUAUGACUUCAUCUCUUUGGUGCAUUCAUAAAGUAGUUCAUCCAGAGAAGACAAUGAAAAUUGUUGACAAUACCAUCCUGCUGCUUCUGAUGCCUGGAACCUGGAAGUUGUGGUUUUUAAGUGUUAUGAUGUAAUCAGCAUAAACUCAACUCCUGAAUUUGGAUGAAUUCUGGAACAUGACCAAGAUCAGGCUAUAGACCUCUAAGAUAGAAAGCCUUGGCCUGGAUGAUUGAGAACUCACCAAAUCAAAUGCUGUCUUUGAAAUGGUUCUUCAGCAGUUAAUAAGUGUUUUCUUUUUAUGACACUGAGUCCUUGUUGUAUAAUUUUGAAAUCCUAUAAAUCCCUUAAGGGCCCAAUAAAAUUUGUCUUAUUGUUGUUAUAUAGAUGACUACUAUCUAGUAACUUGUAAAUUUUUAGUAAAUAUGUCAGAGUUACUCCAAAUAUAAAAUAUUAUAAAAAUUGUUAAAAUAUUAUUUUCUUCCUAUAAAUGGCCAUCCAUUCAAUGUUUUGUGAAAAUAUCACGAAAGUCAGAGCAUGAGGUGCAAAAAUUGAAAAAAUGUUAAGUCUUAGCAUAUUUUCUUCACUUUUCUGUAAAUUUUCUAUGGUAUCUGUCACCUUUCUGUUUUUGUAAAUUUUUAAUCGAGGUAUUAUCGGUUUACUUCAUUGUUAGGAUUUGGGAAAUACAGGAUCCCCAUUUUCAGAUGUAGUUACCAUAUCUCACCUACCAUAAAAGCACUCAUUCAUCUGUAGCUAUUCUAUCUAUUGAUAGCUAUCUUUUUAUUCCUUAACUAUUUUCCUGGUCAAGAUGUUUGGUGUACUUGCUAUUUGUAAUUUUCUACUUUGCUUCUAAUAUAUUCAGUUAUAAAUAAAGUAUCUUAAUUUAAAGCAUUAUAAAUAUAAUGGUAAAAUAACAUAAGAAUGGGAUAAAUUCAGGUGGCAAUUUACUUUUUCAUAUAGUUCAUGAACUGUUCAGAUAUUAGAGAAAAAUAGUUAAGUUGGGAGAUCUUUACACUGACUAAUAUAGUAAAGAUACAGUAAUUCAAACAGUAUGUUACUGGCAUGAACAUAUAAAACCUAGGAAAGGACACUGAGCUCCAUAAGAAGUUAAAGGUAGUGUUUAAAAUUUGUGAAGUUUUAUUUAUUAAAUUGAAAGAACAUUUGAUUAACCAUAUGGGUAAAAUGUUAGACCUCUCCUUUCAAAACAAAUUUAAAUGAAAGACAUCAAAUUAUUAAAACUUAUUAGAAGUGAACCUUGCGAUUAUAUUAUUGUGGAAUGGGCAAAAUCUUGAGUUAAUACCUACAAUAUAGCAAGCACUAUACCAAGUAAUGGGAACAUAAUGAUAAGUAAGAUAGCAGCAAUCUCUGUUGACGUAGCUUACAAUAUAACAGAAAGGGCAGAUAAUUAAAUGUGCUAGAAGUCAUAGCUGGAUUUACAUGCUCAAAUGCCCACAGAUAUCUCUCCUUAUUUCUUAGUUCAGCUUUCCUUCCCUUUAUUUUCAGUCAGGUUGUCUUUAUAUUGAGAAAGAUGGCACUCUAGUACCGUCAGGAUUAUAUUAUACUGAGCUCACCAAUUCAAAAGAGAGGUCUUUUUUUCACCUUUCAAUAUCAAUAGCUAAAAAACAAACAAACAAACAAACAUUAUUUGGCCCCAUUUGGAUCAUAUAACAAUUUAUGGAUGGGUCACAAUCCACCAGUUGGCUGUUCUGAUUGACCAGUGUAAGAUUAUAUAUCCACCACUAUGGAGAGGAAGAUGAGGCUCCUUGAUUGAUUUACUGGGGGUGGGGGUGGAGGGAGGAAUGCCCAAAAAAAGGGAUAUAGGGCAGGUUAAAAAGUAACAAAUACCCACUCUGAAACUGAAGAAUUAUGAAUAGCAAUUAAACAGAAAGAAAGAGGGUGUCAAUCAGACAGAACUAUAAUAUGAAAGCCCAAAGGGGAGAAAGUUUCCCCAUUAGACAAAUUAAAUGACAAUUCAGCUAAAAUAGAAAGCAAAUUAAGUUACAGGAGAUCACGCAGAAAAAAAUAGGUAAAGGACAUCACAACAAAAGAUGUCAAUCAGAUUAUACAGUGUAGUCUUUAUAUAAAAAUAAUUUUUAGUACAGAAAAAUGUGCACAAGAUAAAACUUACCAUUUUUAUCAUUUUUAAAGUUUCAGUAGCUUUGGUACAUUCACAUAUCCCAAUACACAGCCAUCAGCACCAUCCAUCUCUAGAACUUAUUCAUCUUCUCUAACUAGAAUUCUACCCUUUAAACAAUAACUCUAUAUAUUUCUUAAUUUUCCCACCCCCUGAAUACCACAAUUCUGCAAGCUUAACUACUCAAAUACCUGAUAUUAGUGGAAUCAUAUAAUCUUUUAGCUUAUUUCACUUAGCAUAAUAUGUUCAAGUUUCUUCUGUGUUAUAGCUUGAUAUCAGAAUUUCCUUUUUAUGAUUGUACAUAGAAUUUACUACAUAAACUGUUUUUAAGUAUACAUUUCAGUAUAUAAACAUUAUGUCAAUCAACCUACAUAACUCUUUUCAUCCUGCAAAACUAAAAUUUUCACACAUCAACUCCUUAUUUCUUUCUCUCAUUCCUCUAGCCUCUGGCAGAUAUUUCUCCACUUAUUGUUGCUAAGAGUUUGACUAUUCUAGAUACCUCAUAUGUAUAGAAUCAUAAAAUAUUCGUCUCUUUAUGAUUGAUAGUAUUUCACUUAGCAUAAUGUUCUCAAGCUUUAUCUAUACUGUAGCAAGUGGCAAAAUUUCAUUCCACAUAUAUUUUAAGGACUUCAGGCUUUUUGAUGGUGAAAACAAAUUUAUCUAUCAGAAGCAUUGUUUGUUCAUUGUAAAUUAACAUCAUAUUUAAAAUAACAUUAUAAAAGAGAAAUGACAAUUUUUCUCCUACCCCCCACAGUGACAACAAAACAAUUUGAGUUAGUUAACUUUUAGCCCAACUCAAGGUCAAGUGUUUUUCACAACUCAGUGUUGCAAAAGUAAGCUUAUAGGCAAUAUUAUUCAUUUCUUCAGCAGUGUACAAAGUAAUUUGCAAUUGAAAAAUUUUCAGUCAGGUAAUGUUUAAAGUUUGGUGGUUAUUUGCAGUUAGCUAAAUUUUAAAAUGAUGGAGUCUAUCUUGCUAGUCUUUUUUUUUUUUUGGGGGUGGGGGUAAACUGCCAAAUAACCUCAUGUCAAUUCAUAAUUGAUAAAUUAUAGCUUAUCUCCAAAAUGUCUAUAUAAUUUUGCAUUCCUUGAUUGCCCGGUAAUGCUGGUAAGAAACAAGAAUGUUACCAAUGUUUGUACUGUAAAGAAUGCCAUAAAAUAUUCCAACUGAUGUGCCACUAAAACUCACAUUCCCUUUUCCAAAAGGUGAAUAA